UAGUCCGGAUUGGAGUCUGCAACUCGACUCCAUGAAGUCGGAAUCGCUAGUAAUCGUGGAUCAGAAUGCCACGGUGAAUACGUUCCCGGGCCUUGUACACACCGCCCGUCACACCAUGGGAGUGGGCUGCAAAAGAAGUAGGUAGUUUAACCUUCGGGGGGACGCUUACCACUUUGUGGUUCAUGACUGGGGUGAAGUCGUAACAAGGUAGCGCUAGGGGAACCUGGCGCUGGAUCACCUCCUUA
rnacentral:rRNA from 1 species